UACAGAGGUGGCAAGCGUUGUUCGGAAUUACUGGGCGUAAAGGGCGCGUAGGCGGCCUUCUAAGUCGGACGUGAAAUCCCCAGGCUUAACUUGGGAACUGCGUCCGAUACUGGAGGGCUUGAGUGCGGGAGAGGGAUGUGGAAUUCCAGGUGUAGCGGUGAAAUGCGUAGAUAUCUGGAGGAACACCGGUGGCGAAGGCGGCAUCCUGGACCGACACUGACGCUGAUGCGCGAAAGCUAGGGGAGCAAACAGG
rnacentral:rRNA from 1 species